rnacentral:rRNA from 1 species
CCUACGGGCGGCUGCAGUGGGGAAUAUUGGACAAUGGGGGGAACCCUGAUCCAGCCAUGCCGCGUGUGUGAAGAAGGCCCUCGGGUUGUAAAGCACUUUCAGUGAGGAAGAACGCCUGGUGGUUAAUACCCAUCAGGAAAGACAUCACUCACAGAAGAAGCACCGGCUAACUCCGUGCCAGCAGCCGCGGUAAUACGGAGGGUGCGAGCGUUAAUCGGAAUUACUGGGCGUAAAGCGCGCGUAGGUGGCUUGAUAAGCCGGUUGUGAAAGCCCCGGGCUCAACCUGGGAACGGCAUCCGGAACUGUCAAGCUAGAGUGCAGGAGAGGAAGGUAGAAUUCCCGGUGUAGCGGUGAAAUGCGUAGAGAGCGGGAGGAAUACCAGUGGCGAAGGCGGCCUUCUGGACUGACACUGACACUGAGGUGCGAAAGCGUGGGUAGCAAACAGGAUUAGAUACCCGAGUAGUC